CGUCUCUCCGGGUGGGAAGGUUCCCAGUGGGCUCCUCCAUCCUGGUGCUGCUCAAACACACUGUGCGUUUUCCUGCUGCCUCCUGUGAGGGGGACGAGAUCUCAGUCACCGCAAACCACGGCCACGGGCCUGCUCUCACGGUGCAGAGCACCGCACCAAAGCCCACGCAGUCCCUCGGGACAGGGAUCCACAGGCCCCCGCGCCAGGGAACAGGGAAGAGGAUCAGGGAAAGAUCAUCGGCCGCUGGACACUCGCCCCGCUGAGGGGAAGGCCGCGGCGCAGCCCCAGCUGUACUGCCUGUCGGCGUCGGCCCCAGCGCACUUCGCGGCCCGGGACGCUGCUGGAUGCGAACCGCUCGCACCACACGCGGCCCUCGCUGGCCCUGCACCCCGGGCACCGCCACCCGCCCGGGCACACAGCGAGAACCGCCGGGGAGGGGAGGGGGAGAAAAUUGAAUGGAGAGCCCCCGUACCCCGACACCGCACAGCCCCACCACUUGCCGCAGCAGCCCCCGCCUUGCCCGCUCUUCCCACCUCUGCCCCGCCGCCCGCGGCGCGCCGGGACACCGAGUCCCUGCCGGGCUCCACGGAGCGGCCACGGCGGCGGCAGGACCACAACUCCCGGCGGGGAGAGCGGCGCGGAAAGGGCCGGAGCCUCCCGCCCCCUCUCCGCUCCGCCUCUCUGGGGGCUCCUGGGAGCUGUAGGCGGCCGCCUUCCCUCGGCGGGGGACAUUUUGCGAGCUGGGGAGCGGGGCUGAGCGGCGGGACUACAGCUCCCAGGGCGUACCGCGGCGCCGACAUUUCGCGGCCUGUGCGGGGCCGUGCCCAUUGCCAGGCCGGGUGCGGGGCUCGGCGCGCGGGGCUCGGUGCCGGGCCGCGCACCCCGGAGAGCCGCGGUGCCGCCCCGGAGCUGUCCGGCACCGUGAGGGGCAGGCACGGCACCGCCGCCGCCCUCCGCAGUCGCAGUCUGAAAAAACCCCAUGUCACGGGUUUUGUUCUCAUCGAAAAGCAGGGAUUGGCCACCGCGAACACAUCCGAAGUUUUUUUUUGUUUGUUUUGGUUUGUUUUUUUUCCCUCUUACGUGUUUAUUUUAAAACUAGCAAACCCAAACCCCAAGUCACUUGAGGACUAA
rnacentral:lncRNA from 1 species